GCAUCAUAGUGUACCCAUGCCAGAAUAAACUAGCCUCAAACCAUUGCCCAGCCUCAAUACCCAUGGGCUGUGAGCACUGAAGGGGGUUGUACAAUG
rnacentral:snoRNA from 1 species